AGUGCAGCAGCCCAUAGGGUGAGGCCAUUUGCCUAUCUGGGUGAUGACCCUCGCUUCCAAAUACAGUGGUACCUCAGGUUAAGUACUUAAUUCGUUCCAGAGGUCUGUUCUUAACCUGAAACUGUUCUUAACCUGAAGCACCACUUUAGCUAAUGGGGCCUCCUGCUGCUGCCACGCCACCGGAGCACGAUUUCUGUUCUUAUCCUGAAGCAAAGUUCUUAACCUGAAGCACUAUUUCUGGGUUAGCGGAGUCUGUAACCUGAAGCGUAUGUAACCUGAAGUGUAUGUAACCCGAGGUACCACUGUAAAAAGAAGUCUGAGGCUGCUGUCCUAUAGCCAUGCACCUGGGAGUGGGCCCUAUGGAAUCCAAUGGAUCUUCCUUCCAAGUAGCCAGAUACAGAAGAGUAUGUGUAGGUCCCUGCAUUUGACAUUUCCCUCUAACUCUUACCUCAGACUUUCCUCCCUCUCCUCAGUCCUCUUGGGAUUAUAUAUAUUACAUACCAUCCAACAUUUCCACAUCAAAAACCUGGAUGCAGGUCUUCCGGAAUGUACUCCUGGGGUGAGUCACAUGACCUGUGCCAUGAUCUCGCCCCAAGCAUUUCUUAUUUCUUUUUCAAGGCAAGAUUACAACAAAAUGGCCGCCUUGAUCUCACGCAAUAAAAUGGGGUGUUGCUUUUUUUCUGGGACACUUGGGUUUGGUCUCAGCUAUAUCUCAGAUUCCUAAAGUUGGGUUGUUGGAGGCCAUGGAGAAUAGAAAGGAGGAGGAGGACGAAAAAGAGAAAUAUGGAAUGAUUAAAUAAAACAUCAGAGUUGUCCGAAACCAGUGUUGCUCAUUUUGGACCCUGUGACCCUUCUGUGCUGAUGAAGAUGUAGUCAUUCCAACUGCAUAUAAAUAAUAUUGUUUUAUUUUAAGGAUUCAUUUAUUCUAGUGAUUUUGUAUUUUGCCUUUCAAUAAAAUUCCAAUGAUGGCU